GGGGCAAUAUUCAGCAAUGGGCGCAAGCCUGAUGCAGCCAUGCCGCGUGUAUGAAGAAGGCCUUCGGGUUGUAAAGUACUUUCAGCGGGGAGGAAGGUGUUGAGGUUAAUAACCUCAGCAAUUGACGUUACCCGCAGAAGAAGCACCGGCUAACUCCGUGCCAGCAGCCGCGGUAAUACGGAGGGUGCAAGCGUUAAUCGGAAUUACUGGGCGUAAAGCGCACGCAGGCGGUCUGUCAAGUCGGAUGUGAAAUCCCCGGGCUCAACCUGGGAACUGCAUUCGAAACUGGCAGGCUGGAGUCUUGUAGAGGGGGUAGAAUUCCAGGUGUAGCGGUGAAAUUGCGUAGAGAUCUGGAGGAAUACCGGUGGCGAAGGCGGGCCCCCUGCA
rnacentral:rRNA from 1 species